UGGACACAAUAUAACUUUGAUUCAAAGAACAAUCAAACAAACGAUUCUGAACAUACCAGCACCAAUCAAGUCCAUUCUACUCCGCAGUCUGCAUGUUCUUUUAUUUUUCCAGUUAUUUGUAUAUUAUAUGAACAAAAUUGUUUUCAAAUAACAUGCGACGGGAAAGAAUAGGAGCAGUGAGUAGUACAAGUUUUGUCAUGAUGGCAUUACCAGAAAUUAACGACAAAAUGUAUAUAUAUUAAUUUGCAUACAAUUCAUGUGCAAUGGCUU